rnacentral:rRNA from 1 species
GACAGAGGGGGCAAGCGUUGCUCGGAAUUACUGGGCGUAAAGGGCGCGUAGGCGGAAUGGCAAGUCGGUCGUGAAAUCCUUCGGCUCAACCGAAGAACGUCGAUCGAAACUGCCGUUCUUGAGGAUUGCAGAGGAGACUGGAAUUCCCGGUGUAGCGGUGAAAUGUGUAGAGAUCGGGAGGAACACCGGUGGCGAAGGCGGUUCUCUGGGCAUUACCUGACGCUGAGGAGCGAAAGCAUGGGGAGCGAACAGG